AGAGUUUGAUCCUGGCUCAGAAUCAACGCUGGCGGCGUGCCUCAGACAUGCAAGUCGAACGCGAAAGUUCCCUUCGGGGAGCGAGUAGAGUGGCGCACGGGUGAGUAACACGUAGGUAAUCUACCUUUGGAUGGGGAAUAACAACCGGAAACGGUUGCUAAUACCGCAUAAUGCAGCGGCACCUAAUGGUGACAGUUGUUAAAGCGGGGGAUCGCAAGACCUCGCGUCUGAAGAGGAGCCUGCGGCAGAUUAGCUAGUUGGUAAGGUAACGGCUUACCAAGGCGAUGAUCUGUAACCGGCCUGAGAGGGCGGUCGGUCACACUGACACUGACAUACGGGUCAGACUCCUACGGGAGGCAGCAGUCGGGAAUUUUGGGCAAUGGGCGAAAGCCUGACCCAGCAACGCCGCGUGAAGGAUGAAAUCCCUCGGGAUGUAAACUUCGCAAGAACAGGAAGAAUAAGUAAGAGUUAAUAUCUCUUAUGAUGACGGUACUGUUUGUAAGCUCCGGCUAACUCCGUGCCAGCAGCCGCGGU
rnacentral:rRNA from 1 species